rnacentral:rRNA from 1 species
GGACUACUGGGGUAUCUAAUCCCGUUCGCUCCCCUAGCUUUCGCGCCUCAGCGUCAGAAAAGGUCCAGGACGUCGCUUUCGCCACCGGCGUUCCUUCCGAUAUCAACGCAUUUCACCGCUCCACCGGAAGUUCCACAUCCCCCUACCCCCCUCGAGACGGCCAGUAUCCAAGGCACUUUUCCGGUUGAGCCGAAAGAUUUCACCCCGGACUUGGCCGCCCGCCUACGCGCCCUUUAAGCCCAGUGAUUCCGAACAACGUUCGCACGGUUCGUCUUACCGCGGCUGCUGGCAC